GGAGGGAUGGCAGUGGGGACACUGUGACUCAGCCAUCUGGAACGGCAGGAAUUCCUCCCGCUGGCCCUACCUGCCCUGGGAACGGGUGCACAGGUAGAACUGGUCCAGUUGUUCUCCUCUGGGAUGGGAGACCCCGCGGGGGAUUGGAUGCUCCUGAGCUCUGUGGGCUUGCAGGUUCCUCACCAAGACAAGCAUCAGGGAGAGGGCUUUGGGUCUGCGCCGACGCACGGAAAUGCAAGGGCCGUGAAAGGAGCCCUUCUUCGGGGCUCUCCAGGAGCCAGGCACUGAACAAGAACUGCCUUUGAACGGGGACGGACGCUGCUCGGCCGGCGGCCAGCGGGAGAGCGGCGGAAAAAAUCGCUGCGUCGCGGAGACACCGACGAAGUCCGUGUCCACCCAUUGCUGUGGGUCUGCGCUGCCCCAUGGGGCACCCAGAAAUGGUGUCCUGUUAUGAGAUACGUGGUGCGUUCUGAGCAAAGGGGUCACGUUUGGAUGAGGGCUGUGUGAUGCGCGCUGUGCGCGGCGUGGGAAUGGCACGGUGAUCCCCAGGGGGGGCUUCGCUUGAGGGGUGCAGGGGUUUGCAGCACAGAGCGUGGAGGAGAUGCUGAGGUGGCAGUGGUGGUGGGCAGGAAUUGGGGGUAUUCGGGGUGCAGGGGUUUGCAGCAAAGCACAGAGCAUGGAGGUGAUGCUGAGAUGGCAGUGGUGGUGGGGCAGGAAUUGGGGGAUCACUCAGAGUGCAGGGAUUAGCAGCACAUUGCAUGGAGGUGAUGCUGAGAUGGCAGUGGUGAUGGGCAGGAAGGGGGGGCAUAGUGCAAGGUUUUGCAGCACAGAGCAUGGAGGUGAUACUGACGUGACAAUGAUGGGGACAGGAAUUGGGGAUGCUUGGGGUGCAGGGAUUUGCAGCACAUUGCAUGGAGGUGAUGCUGAGAUGGCAGUGGUGGUGGGCAGGAAGGGGGGGAAUAGUGCAAGGUUUUGCAGCACAGAGCAUGGAGGUGAUACUGACGUGACAAUGAUGGGGACAGGAAUUGGGGAUACUCGGGGUGCAGGGGUUUGCAGCACAGUGCAUGGAGGUGAUUCUGAGAUGGCAGUGAUGAGGGCAGGAAUUGGGGAUACUCGGGGUGCAGGGAUUUGCAGCACAUUGCAUCACAGAGGUGAUGCUGAGGUGGCAGUAGUAGUGGGGCAGGAAUUGGGGAUGCUUGGGGUGCAGGGAUUUGCAGCACAGAGCAUGGAGGUGGUGCUGAGGUGGCUGUGAUGUUGGGGUAGGAAUUGGGGAUGCUCAGAGUGCAGGGGUUUGCAGCACAGAGCAUGGAGGUGAUGCUGAAAAGCCAUGGAUGGGGCGCAGAGAUGGGUGACAGCCAUCGGCAUCCGCGCCCUUCCUUUGCUGAGCCGCACAGAGAUCACCUUGCCACCGAAUCCAGCGCACGGUUCUCAUCUUUUUCUGCCCCUCAGACCCCAUCAGACCCCAUCAGCCGAGCUGGAAGGGGAGCUGGCAGUCUGCCCGUCCCGUCCCGGCAGUGCUGCCGGGCAGAAAGCAGAAACAAAAAAGGAGGAUGGUGCCACCUCCCGGCACCCGCUCGGCUCUCCCCACCCCGCAGCGCACCGCGGACCGGCGGGGGACCCGCGCGGCCGUGGGCUGAACUCCACGGGGCAGGUGGGGAAACUGAGGCACGGGGCACCUCCUGCCGCCGAGCCCGAGGGCACGGCCUGCCCUUUACAUCCCCUCUCACCUCCCCGUCGGGCUGCGGAUCGCUCGGCUCCUUCGUCCCAUCCCACCUCUGCAGGGCUGUGGGGCGCAGGGGUGGCCGAACCCCGUCUCCCAUCUCCAUCCGUGGGGUGCAUUUGGGCACUGUGGUAGGGAUUCGUGGUUCAGCAGCUGAACUGCAAACAACAGAAAGGCCACGGGGGGAGAUUUCAGGCUCUUUAGUUCUGGCUGUCACUAAAGCAUCACCUUUUGGCCCAAAACUGCAGCGCCGGUCAGCACGCAGAAGCGAAGCCCACUUUGGUGCCAUGCUCAGGUUGUGCCCUUCGUUCCGACUUCCCCAAUUCUGGGCUCUUUGCGAAUGAAAACUGCCCUACAACCAUCAAAACGUGCCCUCCCAGUGCUUCAAACGAGUGAGAAUCCAUCCCUAUAGGCCUAUGGAUGGCCGGGGGUGCACGAGGGCUUGGAGAUGGGAGGAAACACAGAAGUAAAAAGGGGUUCCCCCUUUAGCCAACACUCUCCCUGCAGGAUUCCCAUCCCAAUCGCAUCAGGACUGCCUUUCACCCUGCCCCACUUCCCCGAUAACCAUCGCAGCUUUCCUUCCUUAAUUGCUUUCUGCCGUUCUCGCAGAUCACCCCCGAGAACCCGGACACGCUCCUCCUCAUUCAAUGGGCGAUCAGUCGCCAAUCAGCCCCAACGAUCCGGCUGCGAUAAGGUCCCGGUUUGAUGUUAAUCAGCCCUAAUGCACAGCUGGGGCGGAGCUCUGCAUGCUUCGUUCACACGCAGCAGCUCACUGCUUUCCCUUCAACCCUCUGCUGCAGUGCUUUCCCCUUGCAGGGAUUUCCAAUUGGGGAGAAAACGGUUUAUGCCAUGCAUUCAGGGCAAUGAGCUGAGCACCAAACUGCAGGACCCCAUACCCACCCCACCCAACACAACCUGAGCACCCACAGUGCACGACCCCAUACCCACCCCACCCAACACAACCUGAGCACCCACACUGCACGACCCCAUAUCCACCCACUCAACACAACCUGAGCACCCACACUGCACGACCCCAUAUCCACCCCAUCCAACACAACCUGAGCACCCACACUCCAUGACCCCAUAUCCACCCCACCCUGCAGAACCUGAGCACCCACACAGCAGGACCCCAUACCCACCCCACCCAACACAACCUGAGCACCCACAGUGCACAACCCCAUAUCCACCCACCC
rnacentral:lncRNA from 1 species